GAUGAACGCUGGCGGCGUGCCUAAUACAUGCAAGUCGAGCGAACAGACGAGGAGCUUGCUCCUCUGACGUUAGCGGCGGACGUGUGAGUAACACGUGGAUAACCUCCCUAUAAGACUGGGAUAACUUCGGGAAUCCGGAGCUAAUACCGGAUAAUAUAUUGAACCGCAUUGUUCAAUAGUGAAAGACGGUUUUGCUGUCACUUAUAGAUGGAUCCGCGCCGCAUUAGCUAGUUGGUAAGGUAACGGCGUACCAAGGCGACGAAGCGUAGCCGACCUGCGAGGGUGAUCGGCCACCCUGGAAAUGGGACACGGUCCAGACUCCUACGGGAGGCAGCAGUAGGGAAUCUUCCGCAAUGGGAGAAAGCCUGACGGAGCAACGCCGCGUGAGUGAUGAAGGUCUUCGGAUCGUAAAACUCUGUUAUUAGGGAAGAACAAAUGUGUAAGUAACUAGGCACGUCUUGACGGUACCUAAUCAGAAAGCCACGGCUAACUACGUG
rnacentral:rRNA from 1 species